rnacentral:rRNA from 1 species
UACGUAGGGUGCAAGCGUUAAUCGGAAUUACUGGGCGUAAAGCGUGCGCAGGCGGUGAUGUAAGACAGUUGUGAAAUCCCCGGGCUCAACCUGGGAACUGCAUCUGUGACUGCAUCGCUGGAGUGCGGCAGAGGGGGAUGGAAUUCCGCGUGUAGCAGUGAAAUGCGUAGAUAUGCGGAGGAACACCGAUGGCGAAGGCAUCCCUGGGCCUGCACUGACGCUCAUGCACGAAAGCGUGGGGAGCAAACAGG